UAUAGACCAGGCACAGGCAAACUUGGCCCUCCAGAUAUUUUGGGACCAGUAGUCAGGGAUGAUGGGAGUUGUAGUCCCAAAACAUCUGGAGGGCCGAGUUUGUCUAUGCCUGUUAUA